UACGUUUGUCCCAAGCGUUACCCGGAAUCACUGGGUGUAAAGGGUUCGUAGGUGGAAAUUUAAGUCAGAUAUGAAAGACUGAGGCUCAACCUCAAGUUUGUGUUCGAAACUGGAUUUCUAGAAUCAGGGAGAGGUAAGCGGAAUUCUAAGUGUAGGGGUGCAAUCCGUAGAUACUUAGAGGAACACCAAAAGCGAAGGCAGCUUACUGGAACUGUAUUGACGCUCAAGAACGAAAGCGUGGGGAGCGAAAAGG
rnacentral:rRNA from 1 species